GCCUACGGCCAUACCAGUCUGAAAGUGCCUGAUCUCGUCAGAUCUCAGAAGUCAUGCAGGCUUGGCCUGCUUAGUGCUGUAUGGAACUAGGAACCUCUCAGGUGCCGUAGGGA